rnacentral:rRNA from 1 species
UACGUAGGGUGCGAGCGUUGUCCGGAAUUAUUGGGCGUAAAGAGCUCGUAGGCGGUGUGUCACGUCGUUCGUGAAAACCUGCAGCUUAACUGUGGGCGUGCGGUCGAUACGGGCAUCACUGGAGUUCGGCAGGGGAGACUGGAAUUCCUGGUGUAGCGGUGAAAUGCGCAGAUAUCAGGAGGAACACCGGUGGCGAAGGCGGGUCUCUGGGCCGAUACUGACGCUGAUGCGCGAAAGCGUGGGGAGCAAACGGG